GACGAACCGAGCGAACGUUGUCCGGAAUUAUUGGGCGUAAAGGGCUCGUAGGCGGUUUGUCGCGUCGGGAGUGAAAACUCAGGGCUUAACCCUGAGCCUGCUUCCGAUACGGGCAGACUAGAGGUAUGCAGGGGAGAAUGGAAUUCCCGGUGUAGCGGUGAAAUGCGUAGAUAUCGGGAGGAACAUCAGUGGCGAAGGCGGCUGUCUGGCCCAAUACUGACACUCAGGUGCGACAGCGUGGGGAGCAAACAGGGAUUAAGAAACCCUG
rnacentral:rRNA from 1 species